CUCUUUCACCAAAACAGACGCUCCCCUUUCACCUCUCCAUUGUCGCUUUCAAUCUCUGCCAUGGCAGAGCUCUCUCUUGGCUUUUUUCCUCCAUUUUUGGCCAAGUCUUGACCUUUAAAUCCCUACGCGCCAGAGCGUAUCUCACCAUUUCAGGUAUAACCUGAAGCUUAUCACUGAAGAAUCACGUGAAGAUUGAAUCCAUACAAAAGGCUUCAACGUUAAAAUUCAAACGGAUGCGUUUGACUUCUUUUGAAAUCUGAAUUUCAAAUUCCCGCUCAAAGGAACCAAGAACCCUAAUUUUACACCUAUAAAUACCAGACUUUGUGGCUAUUUUCAGCACCUUUUGGACCGCCCCUUCUAUCUCCCUUAACCCUCACUGUUUGGCUAACUAUUCAUAGUUUAUCUCCCUCCUUACUCUCUUAAAAUCUAGCUUUAAGUUUCUCUGCCUUUUGACCUUUAUUUAGUCUAUAGCCUUGCCAAAGCUUUCAUUUUUAUUUGUGUCGGCAUUUGACGAUCUUCCAAAAGAGUUGAGCCAAAGCCGGAGAUAGAUCUUCUUGACGACGCCCCAUUCACUGCCCACAAAAAGGUCAGCGACUUUAAAAUUUCUUCUUCUUGUUUUCUUCUGCUAGACUUGAAGUAAAUGUUUCACUUUGGUUUUAAAAAACGUGUGUUAUAGUUUAUUUUCCAUGAAGAAAGUGUGAUUUGAAGUCUGUCUGUGCAUAGAAAUCAUAUGUAGGGAUUGUGUGUAUUAUGACUUAAUUGAAUAGGAACACAAGGUGUCGACUAAGUACUUUUAUAAUGGUUAAUAAAUAAUUGUUAAUCUUAAGGCUCUUGCUUAAAACACUACUAUAUGUGCUUUUUUUGUUUCAAAUGAUAAGUUAGAGUAUUUGUUUCUUUUCCAGCAUGUAUAAAGUUAAAUUUUGUCUCUAUUCCAUAGGUCAAAACUAUGGCUUAGGUACCUUUUUCAUGUGUUCGAGAGACGGCGCUUUAAGUUUACUGUUUCUCUAGUUUAAAUAUCAUAAGAAGAAUGAUGUUAUUAAUUACCUCCAUGUCUAGUUGAAUGAUCUCAUUAUUUAGUAGAUAUUUUAAAGAACCAGCUUUAAACAGAUUUUUGUAUCUAAAGAAUCAUAAAGUUUUGCUGGUUAGAUUUUGUAUACAAGUUGAGAUCGUGCUUAUGGUUGACUUAUCUCAUAGCUUAGCUUGAAUAACGUUUUAACAAAGCGCUAGUGUAUUUAGUCCUUAACUUGUGUAUUUGACUUAUUACAUCUAGUUAAACAUAAGGAAUAUUAUCAUAAUGGUGUUUCUUUGCAAGCAGUUUGAUAUGAUAAAGUUAUAACAACUGUUACUGAGCCUGAAUUUGAAGUCAUAAUUUUUACAUACUUGCGACUAGGAUUAAGAAUGAAGGUUGGGAUUAAAUAGUUCAAAUAUCAAUUUGAUGCCUAAUGACUGUCUUUACAAAGCUAAGUUGAUGUCUAAAUAUGGCUCUAUACAUUUCUUGAAAAGUACAGUAGCUUAGUUACAGUUUCUUUGCUGUUCAUAUUGUAGAGGAUAAUAGCCAUAAUUAGAAGCUAUAUUUUUAGGAUUUUAUUUGAGAGUUUAGAUACCAUGCUCAUAGGUUUAAUGUUUAUUUCUUGGAACUGAAUAGCUUUGCAGGUUUUGAGUAUAAUUUAAGUUUUAUUUUAUAAACUAGAAGUCUCGGAUUAAGAAGUGAAUCUCCAUGAAGUUACAUGUGCAUUAUGUUAUCUGUAAUCUAUAGUUUAUUUCUUAAAAAAGCCCAAACCAUGAGUUAGAUUCUUGGUUUAUGAAUACUCCUGAUAUUCUUGCAUACCAUGUCCUCUGAAAAGUAUAUCAUAUGGCUUUGAUAAAGGAAUGACAUCUGACUCAAACGCGUUGGACUUUGUUGGGCUAAACUCUAUUUUCCUUGGUAUUUUGUUAGAUCUCAAACUUGUUUUUGCCCUUCUCGAAUAUUAAUUUAGUGUCUCAAAUGCAUGCUUAUUUAUUACGACAACAACAACAACCCAAUAUAAUCCCAUUAGUGGGGUCUGAAGAGGGUAGUGUGUACGCAAACCUUACCCUUACCCUGGAGUAAAGAGGCUAUUUCCGAUAGACCCUCGUCCCCCCUCCAAGAACUCCCCACCUUGCUCUUGGGGUGACUUGAACUCACAACCUCUUUGGUUGGAAGUGGAGGGUGCUCACCACUAGAGCAACCCACUCUUGUCAAACAUCGUUUACGUAGAUUACAUAUCUAAUCUUUUUCUCUAUUCUUUGUCUUGCAUAUGCACUUGGAGCAAAAAUGGAGUCUCACCAAUACUACCAAGCAUGGAGUCAUCACAUCCCAUAUCAUCCUCCUUAGAAUGCACCGGAUAGCAAGAAAAAGAAACAAGCGAAACGCUUGGGGGGUGUCUAUGGCAUCCUUUUCUUUUAUUUGUAUCUAAUCUUUUAAUGAUUGUUGAUCUAUUUAUCUGUUUGUUGUUUAUCUCAACUGUGGAUUUAAUCAUCUAGGUUCUCUGCUCUCUAGUAUUUAUAUAAUCUUUAGGCAUUCAAGAUCACUAAUUUAGUAACCC
rnacentral:lncRNA from 1 species